rnacentral:rRNA from 1 species
CCUACGGGAGGCAGCAGUGGGGAAUAUUGCACAAUGGGGGGAAACCCUGAUGCAGCGACGCCGCGUGGAGGAAGAAGGUCUUCGGAUUGUAAACUCCUGUUGUUGGGGAAGAUAAUGACGGUACCCAACAAGGAAGUGACGGCUAACUACGUGCCAGCAG